UCUAAUAUGGCAGAAUAGUGCAUUGGAUUUAAGACCCAAAAAUAAAGAUAAACUUUUUUUAGAA
rnacentral:tRNA from 1 species